rnacentral:misc_RNA from 1 species
GAUGAAGAACGCAGCGAAAUGCGAUAAGUAAUGUGAAUUGCAGAAUUCAGUGAAUCAUCGAAUCUUUGAACGCACAUUGCGCCCGCCAGUAUUCUGGCGGGCAUGCCUGUCUGAGCGUCAUUUCAACCCUCAUGCCCCUAGGGCGUGGUGUUGGGGAUCGGCCAAAGCCCGCGAGGGACGGCCGGCCCCUAAAUCUAGUGGCGGACCCGUCGUGGCCUCCUCUGCGAAGUAGUGAUAUUCCUCAUCGGAGAGCGAUGAGCCCCUGCCGUUAAACCCCCAACUUUCCAAGGUUGACCUCAGAUCAGGUAGGAAUACCCGCUGAACUUAAGCAUAUCAAUAGCGGAGGA